CUCGUAGUUAAGUAAGUUCGUUAGUUGCCCCACCAUCACCACCGCCACCGCCAGCACCAGCAGCACCACCACCAACCACCAGCCACCUCCACCUCCACUAACACGGAGGAGAGCGGAGGAAUAUUUCGCUUAUUUACGGUGUGAUUUGUUGUCGCAUGCGUUUCUCGGUACACAAGCUCGCGUGCACGGCGGCUCCGGUGUCUCGUACUUAAAAAAAAAAAUCGGUACCCUCCGCGUGCGCCUGUUAGCUGCCGUUAAAAGCUGUGUUGUGUGUUUUUUAAAAAAUAUAUAUCUUCCCCUACAAACCGGGCAACAUGGAAAGGAAGUGAAGUUGGCCCGCUUUGAGAACAAUCUAAAGCUGCUAGUGAAAGCUGGUUACGUCAGAACUCUGUGUUGGUCUCCGGGCUCGUUGUCUUCUGGAGAAGUGGUGAACUGUGUCAUCUCCAGCCACUAACAACCAACAGCUGCAGCACUAGCCACCGAUGCAGAUCGAGGGACAAUGUGGAACUGAUUUUGUAAUGCAGAG
ensembl:lncRNA